rnacentral:rRNA from 1 species
AUUGAACGCUGGCGGCAUGCCUUACACAUGCAAGUCGAACGGUAACGGGCCUUCGGGUGCCGACGAGUGGCGAACGGGUGAGUAAUGUAUCGGAACGUACCUUUCAGUGGGGGAUAACGUAGCGAAAGUUACGCUAAUACCGCAUAUUCUGUGAGCAGGAAAGCAGGGGAUCGCAAGACCUUGCGCUGAUUGAGCGGCCGAUAUCAGAUUAGCUAGUUGGUGAGGUAAAGGCUCACCAAGGCGACGAUCUGUAGCGGGUCUGAGAGGAUGAUCCGCCACACUGGAACUGAGACACGGUCCAGACUCCUACGGGAGGCAGCAGUGGGGAAUUUUGGACAAUGGGGGCAACCCUGAUCCAGCCAUGCCGCGUGAGUGAAGAAGGCCUUCGGGUUGUAAAGCUCUUUCGGUCCGGGAAGAAAUCGUAUGGGUUAAUACCCUGUGCGGAUGACGGUACCGGCAUAAGAAGCACCGGCUAACUACGUGCCAGCCGCCGCGGUAAAACCC